UCCCUGGUAGUCCAAGGGUUAGGACUCCAGGCUCUCACGGCUGACAGCACAGGUUCAAUCCCUGACCGGGGAG
rnacentral:tRNA from 1 species